rnacentral:rRNA from 1 species
UGGGGAAUCUUGCACAAUGGGGGCAACCCUGAUGCAGCGACGCCGCGUGAACGAUGAAGCCCUUCGGGGCGUAAAGCUCUUUCGACCGGAACGAUAAUGACGGUACCGGGAGAAGAAGCUGCGGCUAACUACGUGCCAGCAGCCGCGGUAAUACGUAGGCGGCAAGCGUUGUUCGGAGUUACUGGGCGUAAAGAGUGCGUAGGCGGUUUUCUAAGUUCGGUGUGAAAUCUCCCGGCUUAACUGGGAGGGUGCGCCGAAGACUGGGAAGCUGGAGUGUGGGAAAGGCAGGCGGAAUUCCUGGUGUAGCGGUGAAAUGCAUAGAUAUCAGGAGGAACACCGGCGGUGUAGACGGCUUGCUAGACCAUAACUGACGCUGAGGCACGAAAGCGUGGGUAGCAAACA